GGAUGAACGCUAGCGGGAGGCCUAACACAUGCAAGCCGAGCGGUAGAGAUUCUUCGGAAUCUUGAGAGCGGCGUACGGGUGCGGAACACGUGUGCAACCUGCCUUUAUCAAGGGGAUAGCCUUUCGAAAGGAAGAUUAAUACCCUAUAAUAUAUUGACUGGCAUCAGUUAAUAUUGAAAACUACGGUGGAUAAAGAUGGGCACGCGCAAGAUUAGCUAGUUGGUGAGGUAACGGCUCACCAAGGCGACGAUCUUUAGGGGGCCUGAGAGGGUGAUCCCCCACACUGGUACUGAGACACGGACCAGACUCCUACGGGAGGCAGCAGUGAGGAAUAUUGGACAAUGGGUGGAAGCCUGAUCCAGCCAUCCCGCGUGUAGGAAGACGGCCCUAUGGGUUGUAAACUACUUUUAUCUGGGGAUAAACCUACUUACGUGUAAGUAGCUGAAGGUACCAGAUGAAUAAGCACCGGCUAACUCC
rnacentral:rRNA from 1 species